UGUGGAAGUUCCCAGCCAGGGAUUGAACCUGUCCCACAGUAGUGACCUGAGCUGCUGCAGUGACAAUGCUGGGUCCUUACCCCACUGUACAACAAAGGGAAUUCCAAUUUUUGUUUCUGAGAAAGUUUUUAUUUCUCUUUCACUUCUGAAGGAUAAUUUCACAGGGUACGGAAUUCUAGAUUGGUGAGUUUUUCCCCUCAACCAUUUAAUUUUUUUCACUUUACUUUCUUCUUCCUGGCAUGGUUUCUAAGAAUGUCAGAUGGAAUCAUAUUUGUUUAUCCUAGAUAAGGUGUUUUCUUUGGUGUUCUUUCAGGAUUUUUUUUUAUCUUUGAUUUUCUACAAUUUGAAAAUGGUAUGCUAAGGUAAAGUGUAUUGUGAUACAAUGAAAAAAGUAUGUUAUAUUAUCUACAAAGUAUUCUCUCCAAAAUAUGUAGUCAAAUCUAAUAAUGAGAGAACAAUCAGACAAAUUCAGAAUGUGAGACAUCCUGCAAGACAAGUGGCCUGUCUUUGAAAAUGUCUGGAGAAGCAAAGGAAGGGCAACAAGUUCCAGAUGAAAAGAGAUUAAAGAGACAUAAUGAACACAUGCAACUAUGUAAACAUUGAUUAGAUUCCAGAAUGGGAAAAAUCCAAUAUGGAAAGUUUAUUAGACAUUAUUGAAUUAUUGUUAAUUUUCUUAGAUAAUAAAGCAUUUUCCUUCUAUAUCAAUAGAGAGGAUAAAUUGUGCUUCUUCACAUUAUUUAAUAAGGAGAAAACCUGAAGUACAUUUUAGAUAGCUUCUCUUAAAACAUUGAAAAGUAGGAGUUCCUGUGGCUCAACAGUAAUAAACCUGACUAGUAUCCAUGAGGUUGUGGGUUCCAUCCCUGGCUUGCUCAGUGGGUUAAGGAUCUGGCGAUGCCGUGAGCUGUGGUGUAGGUUGCAGACAUGGCUUGGAUCCCAUGUUGCUGUAGCUAUGGUUUAGACCAGCAGCUCUAGCUAAAAUUUGACCCCUAACCUGAAAAAUGUCAUUUGCCAUGGGUGUGGCCCUAAAAAGACUCUAUAUAUAUAUAUGUAAAUAUUUGAAAUCUAAAAGAAUAACUGCUUCACUGUGAACAAUUAGAAUAUUUAUCAGCUAUCCUAGAUAUUAGAUACAAAAUCUUAAUGUUAUUAAAUGUUGAGUGAGAGCUGCCAGUGUUUUCUGGAAGUAAACUGUCCAGCCCUGUGGAAUCUCUUAUCUUUUCCAGGGUAGCAUAUGUGUAGUGGACAUGUUAAGGUAUUAUUUACCAAAUUAUAUUUCCAGCAGUCUUUUAUAGCCAGAGUUCCUUCAUUCCAUUUUUAUUGCAAGUAUUUUUGCUCCAAUAAAGUAACUUUAUUUUCACAGGAAGAGAUUCAAGACUUUUAUUUUGCUAGCCUGAGAAUGGGGCUUUGGGGUACUCUUUCUUAAUGGAUUAUGCAAGUUAACAGCCUUGCCUAUGCUUUUUAAGUCUAGCAAUGACACAAAGGUAUUUCUGUGUAGCUUUUUUCACUGUGUAAUAGAUUCUAGCAUGAUUCCCAUGAGUUAGAUUCAGUGGAAACAUUUUCCUUACUAGGAAAAAAAUGCAUGUGAAAUUAACUUGAUUCUAAAUCCUGGUGGAAGUGAUGAAACUUGAUGUUUAAUGAUGUUCCCUUGUGAUUUAAAGUGCACAUUUCUAAGACCAGGACAAGACUACAAUUAAAUUUCUAGUUUCCUCUGUUGCCUAGGUGGAGGAUUUAUCCAAGUUGAUCCAGGCAUUGCUUUCAUAAUUUCUUUUGCAUCCGCUAUGACAACACAACACAUUGUACUUUCUCAUAACCAUUGAAGUCAGAGUUUUUAUCCCUAUGCCUAAUAUAAAUUUCCAACUUGCCAUCUCAUUUGGUGUUCUAUUGUUUGGAUGAGAAAUAAUUAGAGUUAAAGAAAUAGUUUUUGAAUAAAUAAAGAUGUAUAAACAUUUGCUUUUAUAUUGGACAGUUUCUCUAUUUUCUAUAUACUAUUGCUGUUGCUCAGGGUAAACAAGUAAAACAAAACAGGAAGAUGGUGAUUGACACAGUUGAUUGGAGGAAGGUUGAAGAGUUUUAGGGGUGAAGAUCCUGCUCUGACAUCCCUACUUUUUAAAUCCUGGAUUUUAACUUAUUUCUUCUAUUUAUAAUUACACCUUUCCCAAACUAUUAGGUGAAGGAAAAGAAAAAGAAAGGUAUAUGAUAAGAUUGUGAAUAACUUUGCUUCCUAUAAAACCACAGAUUCAAGGAGGGAAAAAAAUAAAUUCAUAAGUAAUUGCAAUAUCACCACCUGCAAAAGAGAGUUCUCUUUUUCCUUUUGACCUCUCCACUGUACACCCUCCAUCUCAUUAAGAAAAUUGACAUGCUUUCCUUGAUUCUGGGUGACUGAUGCAGGAGACAACUAUGUCAAGACAGUCACUAUGUGAUGAGGAGUCUGAGCAGAUUUGAAUGCCAUAAAGGGCAAUCCAGGAAAAGAUCCAUAAAAAUAGCAAUUCAGGCAGAGAAAACAGUAAGUGAAAUGGUCCCAAGGUAGGAACUAGUUUGUGCAUCAGAGAAUAGAAAUAAAACUACUGGGACUGGAGCUUAAGGUGAGGUUUGCAGCAUCAUAGGAAUCCUUGUAGUUUCCACUGUCAUCUAUUGAUCUAUGCUUGUGAAGCCCUGAGUUUCAAUGUGAAGUUUAUGACUUCCCUUGGCUACCAUAACUGGAAAAAUUACACAGAGACAUCCCAUAAAAAGAUCCCAAGACUAUGUAGAUGGCAAAUUCUCAGUUAGCCUCAGCAGAUCCAGCCCACAUCCAUUUCAAUCUUCCUAUCUGAGGCCACAGAUAUCAUGGAGCAAGGAUGAGUCAUCCUUUGCCAUGCCACCUGACCCACAGAACCAUUAAAGAUGAUGAUGAUGAUGAUAAUAAUGAUAACAAUAAUAAUAAUAUGUUUUUAAGUCAGUGUUCUGG
rnacentral:lncRNA from 1 species